AUGAACGCUGGCGGCGCAUUUAAGACAUGCAAGUCGAACGAAAACGAACAAAUUAAGAAGAGUGGAAGAUUUAUCUGAAAUGAUUUUUAGACCGUGAGUUUUAGUGGCGGACGGGUGAGUAAUACAUAGAUAAUCUACCUUUUAGAGGGAAAUAACUAGGAGAAAUCCAAGCUAAUGUCCCAUAAGACCACAUUACCGCAUGAUAAAGAGGUCAAAGGAGAAAUCCGCUAGAAGAUGAGUCUAUGGCUGAUUAGUUAGUUGGUGGGGUAAGAGCUUACCAAGACAAUGAUCAGUAGCCGAGCUGAGAGGCUGGCCGGCCACAUUGGGACUGAGACACGGCCCAGACUCCUACGGGAGGCAGCAGUUGGGAAUAUUGGACAAUGGAGGGAACUCUGAUCCAGUGACGCCGCGUGAAGGAAGAAGGUCUUCGGAUUGUAAACUUAUUUUAUCAGGGAAGAAAUAAAUGACAGUACCUGAAGAAGAAGGACCGGCUAACUACGUGCCAGCAGCCGCGGUAAUACGUAGGGUCCGAGCGUUAUCCGGAUUUACUGGGUGUAAAGGGCGAGUAGACGGAACUGCAAGUCAGAUGUGAAAUGCUAGAGCUCAACUUUAGAACUGCAUCUGAAACUGUGGAACUAGAGUGCAGGAGAGGUAAGCGGGAAUCCUGGUGUAGCGGUGAAAUGCGUAGAUAUUAGGUGGAACAGCAGUGGCGAAGGCGGCUUACUGGACUGUAACUGACGUUGAGGCGCGAAAGUGUGGGGAGCAAACAGGAUUAGAUACCCUGGUAGUCCACACUGUAAACGAUGGAUACUAGGUGUAGGCAUGAAUGUGUCUGUGCCGUCGCAAACGCAGUAAGUAUCCCACCUGGUUAUGUCGGCCGCAAGGUUGAAACCCAAAGGAAUUGACGGGGGCCCGCACAAUUGGUGGAGUAUGUGGUUUAAUUCGACGCAACGCGAAGAACCUUACCAAGUCUUGACAUCCCUUGACGAUGCUGGAAACAGUAUUUCUCUUCGGAGCAAGGAGACAGGUGGUGCAUGGUUGUCGUCAGCUCGUGUCGUGAGAUGUUGGGUUAAGUCCCGCAACGAGCGCAACCCUUACUGUUAGUUGCUACGCAAGAGCACUCUAGCAGGACUGCCGUUGACAAAACGGAGGAAGGUGGGGACGACGUCAAAUCAUCAUGCCCCUUAUGACCUGGGCUACACACGUACUACAAUGGGUGUUACAAAGAGAAGCGAAACCGUAAGGUGGAGCAAAACUGAAAAAAGCAUCCCUAGUUCGGAUUGUAGGCUGCAACCCGCCUACAUGAAGCUGGAAUUGCUAGUAAUCAUAGGUCAGCAUACUAUGGUGAAUACGUUCCCGGGCCUUGUACACACCGCCCGUCACACCAUGAGAGUUGAGAAUACCCGAAGUCCAUGUAAAAGUGGCCGAAGGUAGGCUUGAUGAUUGGGGUG
rnacentral:rRNA from 1 species